GUAGAGCAGCGGAAAUCUCCUCCCAAAACCACAUAUACUUAUGAAAAUAUAACAAAGACAACUCUUCCUAGAAUAGAGACCAGAGGACACAGGACAACAUCCAGACCACAUCCACACCUGCGAGAACCCAGCGCCUUGCCAAGGGGGAGAGGAAGGCCACAAACCAACAAGAAGGGAAGCUCUUCCAACCGUCACUUGUACCAGCUCUGCAAACUAUCUCUAUCACCAUGAAAAGGCAAAACUACAGGCAGACAAAGAUCACA